rnacentral:rRNA from 1 species
AUUGAACGCUGGCGGCAUGCUUUACACAUGCAAGUCGAACGGUAACAGGGUGCUUGCACCGCUGACGAGUGGCGAACGGGUGAGUAAUGCGUCGGAACGUGCCGAGUAGUGGGGGAUAACGCAGCGAAAGUUGUGCUAAUACCGCAUACGUACUGAGGUAGAAAGUGGGGGACCUUCGGGCCUCACGCUAUUCGAGCGGCCGACGUCUGAUUAGCUAGUAGGUGAGGUAAAGGCUCACCUAGGCGACGAUCAGUAGCGGGUCUGAGAGGAUGGUCCGCCACACUGGGACUGAGACGCGGCCCAGACUCCUACGGGAGGCAGCAGUGGGAAAUUUUGGACAAUGGGCGAAAGCCUGAUCCAGCCAUGCCGCGUGUCUGAAGAAGGCCUUCGGGUUGUAAAGGACUUUUGUCGGGGAGGAAAUCCCCAGCGUUAAUACCGCUGGGGGAUGACAGUACCUGAAGAAUAAGCACCGGCUAACUACGUGCCAGCCGCCGCCGUAAGAC